GCCCUUAUAGCUCAGUGGUAGAGCGUUGCACUUGUAGCUCUGAGUAGUCAGAAUUGCGUCAUGCAAAGGUCCAUAGUUCAAUCCUGUGUGGGGGCA